UGCUAGGGCCGUAACAACAUCAUAGAGACCACUAGUACUUGUUUCUUUCAAUGGCUGCUUCAAUUUCAGGUGGAGCCUCUAAACCGCAGGAGUUGGAGGCCAGUGAUGUAGUAGCGGCACAAGAUCCCAUCAACAGGUUAGCACAAAGUGUUCUGCACACCUCAUACCGCAGUGCAGCAAAAGCAGCCUCAUGAGCGCUGGGAAGGACAAGCCCAGACCCCAGGAGAUGGCUAAAACUCCAUCUUGGGCCCGCCUCAGAAGACGGAUAAACCAAGCAUUUCAUGAACACUGUGAUGGAGACCAUUGCUUUGUGUAUUGUUAGAAGUACUCAGAUAAUCCCAGAAGGCUCUAGACUUUUACCUAAAGAUAUUAUAUUCAGUCCUGAAGAAAGUUAAAUAUUUAAAUAUAUAUUAUGCUCUCUCUGGUAUUAAUGACUCCGGAUUACUUUAUGGUAAAUAACACACUAUUGGCAAAAACAGUAAAAGAAUUCCAGAUCAGAAGCUUUUAGUUCAACAUACAUGAUAUAUGGUGACACAGUUACAUGGGUGAUUAAUCCUUUUGACUUUUUGUCUUUAACUUUAUCUACAAACAGCUGCAGCUUUUACUGACAGCACAUCAUGUGGUACUAUAACCGUUGUACUCUUUUGAUCAGUUUUGGAGUUGCUACAAAGAAUGAAGAUAUAGGAUGAUUUGUCUGUUGCCACUGGGUGAUGCUGAGGUCUCAAUCUAAGGGC